rfam:Myotis lucifugus cont2.2416, whole genome shotgun sequence.
GGCAGUUCUCGGGUGACGUACCCCGGAAUCAGGCUCCUUCCUUUCUGGUUCUGGGUGCAUCACCCAAGAACCACA